rnacentral:tRNA from 1 species
AACAUAAUCUACUCUAUGUUACGGCCAUAGAAUCGAUGACGAGUUCAUCUUAUGUUU